rnacentral:tRNA from 1 species
GUAAGUAUAGUUUACAUAAAACAUUAGAUUGUGAUUCUAAAAUUAAGAGCUUAAAACUCUUUACUUACC